AUACGUAGGGGGCAAGCGUUGUCCGGAAUUAUUGGGCGUAAAGCGCGCGCAGGCGGUCAUUUAAGUCUGGUGUUUAAACCUUGGGCUCAACCUAAGGUCGCACUGGAAACUGGGUGACUUGAGUACAGAAGAGGAAAGUGGAAUUCCACGUGUAGCGGUGAAAUGCGUAGAUAUGUGGAGGAACACCAGUGGCGAAGGCGACUUUCUGGGCUGUAACUGACGCUGAGGCGCGAAAGCGUGGGGAGCAAACAGGAUUAGAUACCCUGGUAGUCCACGCCGUAAACGAUGAGUGCUAGGUGUUAGGGGUUUCGAUACCCUUGGUGCCGAAGUUAACACAGUAAGCACUCCGCCUGGGGAGUACGGUCGCAAGACUGAA
rnacentral:rRNA from 1 species